CCGGUAGCUCAGUCGGUUAGAGCGCAGCUCUGAUAAAGCUGAGGUCGUAAGUUCGAAUCUUACUCGGCC
rnacentral:tRNA from 1 species